GACGAACGCUGGCGGCGUGCCUAAUACAUGCAAGUCGAACGCUGAAGGAGGAGCUUGCUUCUCUGGAUGAGUUGCGAACGGGUGAGUAACGCGUAGGUAACCUGCCUGGUAGCGGGGGAUAACUAUUGGAAACGAUAGCUAAUACCGCAUAAUAGUAGAUGUUGCAUGACAUUUGCCUAAAAGGUGCAAUUGCAUCACUACCAGAUGGACCUGCGUUGUAUUAGCUAGUUGGUGGGGUAACGGCUCACCAAGGCGACGAUACAUAGCCGACCUGAGAGGGUGAUCGGCCACACUGGGACUGAGACACGGCCCAGACUCCUACGGGAGGCAGCAGUAGGGAAUCUUCGGCAAUGGACGGAAGUCUGACCGAGCAACGCCGCGGGAGUGAAGAAGGGUUUCGGAUCGUAAAGCUCUGUUGUAAGAGAAGAACGAGUGUGAGAGUGGAAAGUUCACACUGUGACGGUAUCUUACCAGAAAGGGACGGCUAACUACGUG
rnacentral:rRNA from 1 species